UACAGAGGGGGGCAAGCGUUGUUCGGAAUUACUGGGCGUAAAGCGUGCGCAGGCGGUUCGUUAAGUUCGUUGUGAAAGCCCCGGGCUCAACCUGGGAACUGCAAUGGAAACUGGCGGGCUUGAGUGUGGCAGAGGGGGGUGGAAUUCCCGGUGUAGCGGUGGAAUGCGUAGAGAUCGGGAAGAAUACCCGUGGCGAAGGCGGCGUGCUGGACCCCACCUGACGCUGAGGCGCGAAAGCCAGGGGAGCAAACGGG
rnacentral:rRNA from 1 species